AACUUUCAAAGAUCCUUCUGUCUCGGCCUCCCAAGUUCUGAGAUUACAGGUAUUCAUCAUCACACCUGGACUUUCUCUUUAAAAACUCUCUUGGUGAAGACCUUUGAAGCACAACAAAUACAAGAUUUUAAUGAAGUCCAACUUUCCUCUUUCCCUUUUUGGUGUAUUAUCUGAGAAACUACAGUCAAACCCAAGGUCAAGAAGAAUUACUCUUGUGUUUUCUUUUAAAGUUUUUAAAAUUCUUUUAAAAUUUUUUUUAAGUUUUAACUCUUUGUGAAUAGUUAUAAAGCAAGAGUCUAAUUUCAAUCUUUGGGUAUCAAUAUGCAGCUGUCAUGGUAACUUCUGUUGAAAUUGUUCACCACAGUAAAUGGUCUUUGUAUUCUUCCAAAAACAACUGAUCAACAAUAUCAAGGUUUAUGCCAGGCCUCAUAAUCCUAUUACCUCAAAGUCUUCAUUACUAUAGCAUUGUAGUGAGUUGCAAAAUUAGGACAUAUAAACCUUCCAAUUUUGGUAUGUUUCAAGAUUAAGCUAACUAUUCUGUGUUCCUUAAAUUUCUAAGUAAGUAUAUCUGUAAAGAAACCAGCCAGGGGUCUCACAAUGAAAAAUGCUUUCAAUUUCGGAAUUGAAUAAACAAUGAGACACUAAGAUCUGCAAAAUAUUAUCUGUAGGUAAUUUUCUUUCAAUAGUUAAUGAAAAUGUUAGCAUUUUCUUCAUUUUUU
rnacentral:lncRNA from 1 species